AUUGAACGCUGGCGGAAUGCUUUACACAUGCAAGUCGAGCGGCAGCGCGGUCUUCGGACUGGCGGCGAGCGGCGAACGGGUGAGUAAUACAUCGGAACAUGCCCAGUCGUGGGGGAUAACACUUCGAAAGAAGUGCUAAUACCGCAUACGUCCUGAGGGAGAAAGCGGGGGAUCGCAAGACCUCGCGCGAUUGGAGUGGCCGAUGUCAGAUUAGCUAGUUGGUGGGGUAAAGGCCUACCAAGGCAACGAUCCGUAGCUGGUCUGAGAGGAUGAUCAGACACUGGGACUGAGACACGGCCCAGACUCCUACGGGAGGCAGCAGUGGGGAAUUUUGGACAAUGGGGGCAACCCUGAUCCAGCCAUUCCGCGUGAGUGAAGAAGGCCUUCGGGUUGUAAAGCUCUUUCGGCAGGAACGAAACGGCGAGCUCUAACAUAGCUCGCUAAUGACGGUACCUGAAGAAGAAGCACCGGCUAACUACGUGCCAGCAGCCGCGGUAAGAC
rnacentral:rRNA from 1 species